UAAAAGUAUCGAUGACAAUUUAGUUUUAACAUCAUAAGUUUUUAAAGGAGUUAUUAAGGAUAACUUGCAAAUUUAUAAAAAAAGGAGGUUAUAAAACCAAAAGCCACAAAGUAAUUUAAAAUUAAAUUCUUGCUGCAAUUCAAAAAUUUUAUUUGUAAAUUUAACAAAAUUGUAGGCGAUCCUAAGGGAAACCUUUUAUAAUCACUUCCUGAAGCAAAUCAUUGUAGUAAGGAAAGGAAAGGAAAUCAACCGAGACUCUGAAAGUAAUGGUGAGUGAAAUCAGAUUAGCCUAAUUAUAAUAUAAAUAAAAAAGUGCCAUGGUGCAUAAGUUUUAAUAUAAAAAAAAAUAUUAAAGCCCAAAGAAGGUUAAAAAGUCCAGUUUUAUUUAUAAAUUAAUUAACUUUAAAAUAAGGGCGUAUGCCUAUUAAAGUCACAAAAAGUACGAUGAGAGUGAACUUGUCGGAAUAUAGGGGUACCAUCCUCUAAGGCUAAGUAAUAUAAAUUUAGCGAUAGUGAAAAGUACUGUGAAGGAAAAGUUGAAAAAGUAUGUCAUUUACAUGUUGAAAAAGAAUUGAAUUAGUAACUCUAUAAGCAGUCGAAGUUAAAAAAAAAUAAAUGACGGCGUACCUUUUGCAUAAUGGGUCAGCAAGUUAAUAGGAGUAGCAAGGUUAAAAGCCCUAGCGAAAGCGACUAAACUAACUAGCUAAAAUAUUAUUUAAUACUUCUAUUUUAGUAUUUUUAAAUAAUCAUUUAUUUAAUUAUAGGAUAAUCCCUUAUUAUUUUUUUUUUAAUUUAUAAUAAGUUAAUUAUUUUUUAGGUAUAGUAUUGGAUAAGUUACUUCUAUUAGACCCGAAGCUAGGUGAUCUUCGUAAGACCAGAUUAUAAUGGAUCGAACGGGUGAAUGUUGCAUAAUUCUCCGAUGAGUCUUACGAAGCGGUGAAAGGCCAAUCUGACCUAGUGAUAGCUGGUUUUCUACGAAACAUAUGAUAGUAUGACAUCUAUACAAAAUUUAUGGAGGUACAGCACUAGGAUUGCAAACACAAAAAAAAAUGAAAUAAAUAUAUAUUUAUAUUUACCCUGCGGCGCCCCUUUCUAAAUUUUAUUCAGAUAGAGGCACCUUGGGCCCUUUGGCCUCCAGAGCGGUUAAAAAAUAGUAUUUAUAUCAUUUGGUUUAGGUUGAGGGGACCUCGAAAAUCUUACCGAUGAAAAAGAAACUCGAAAGUACAUAAAUUGAUGAUAGAUAUUCAGACUGCUCAUGCGAAGUUGGGUAGUCAAGACGGAAACAGCCGUUAACACGUAUCAAGGUCCCAAAUGAUUUUCAAGUGAAAUUAAGGUUGUAGCAUAUUGAACAACAGCAGUACAGUGAGCUUGGAAGUAGCUAUCUGGUAAUAAUCGUCAUGUAACAACGUAACCUGCUCUAAGAAUGUUGUGCCGAAAAUUUAACGGGUCUAAAAUUAUCAACCGAUAUCGUGUUGAUUAAAAAUAAAAAAAGAUUCUAAAAUCAAAUCUCUCCUUGCGCCCAAAUGCAAUGAGUGUCAAAAAAGCAAGACAAGCAUCUUUUUUUCUAUUCUUAAUCUAGGUAGUAGAACAUUCAGUUAAACUUAAUAUAAAACAGUGUUUCAUUGUUUUUAGGUAACUGAAGAGAUAAUGCUGACAUGAGUAACGUAAAGAAGUUAUAAUACUUCUCGCCGAAUACGAAAGGGUUAUAAGGAAUAAAGGUUAAACCGCCUUAUGUAAAUGCGGCCUCUAAGGAUCAAAACCAACGUUAUGACCGAUGAGUUCUUUGUCUAAAGUCUUAAAAGACCAGGAAAAAAAAUGAAGUUCAAUUUUUAUGUGUGUACUUAAGUACACACAUAAAAAUUGAAGUCUACCGUACCCUAAACCGACACAGGUUCGUAAGUAGAGUAUACUAAGGCGUUGAGCAAAAAGUUGUUAAGGAACUCGGCAAAUUCACCUCAUAAGUUUGACGACAAGAGGUAUCCCCUUAAAAUUUAAAAAUAGCACAAACUCAUUUAAGGGUGUGCUAUCAUUUUAAAAAGUAGGUAGGCGGCAUAGAAUCGGAGGCCCCGACUGUUUACUAAAAACACAAUUCAGAGCAAUGAUUAAGAUCAUAGUAUUCUGGAUGAAACUUGCCCGAUGCCAUUAAUAUAAGAGAGGUAAUGGGAUAACUGUUACUAAUCGAAAGUCUGGUUAAUAGCGGUCUUAACUAUGAGGAUCCAAAGGUAGCAAAAUAAAUUGGCCAUUAAAUGUGGUCCGGUAUCAAUAGUAGAACGAUGGUCUCACUGUCUCUACAACUUGCUCAGUGAAAUUGAAUUACCCGUGCAGAUGCGGGUUUCCUUCGGGUGGACGGGAAGACCCUAUGCAGCUUUACUGUUGUUAGUUAUCAUGUUGAUCUAGAACAAUCUUGGUUAAUAGAAAUUAGGGAAGUCGAUAGACGAAAAAUGGAAUACCUUAUAACUAAGGUUGGGUUAAUGUUUACCUUAUAUUUUAAUCAAUAGAGGGAGAGUUGACUAACUGGCAGUUUGACUGGGGCGGUCGUCUUUAAAAGAGUAGCAAAGUACAUCCAAUGAUAUUUAAAAUUUAAAAAUAUUAUAAUAAAAACCUUAUAAACCGUAUUGGGUCCGUAAUAUGCUAACAUAAAAUAAUCAAUUAAAAUUAUAAGUAAAUUGAUCAUAAAUACAAGAAAAUAUAUACUUUGACUUUAUUCUUGCUUUAUGCUAAACUUUUAAUCAUAUCGCACUAGCUCUCUAGCUCUCUUUAGCCUAUGCCAAAUCCUGCCUUCGCAGGUGUUAUAAAAUUUUGCUUUAGCAAAAUUUUAUUUAGACAAGGGGGAAAAAAAGCAAUAAACUUAUUUUCUAAAAGGGGGGGGGAUAAUAAUUAUAUAUAUUUUUAACAUUUUAAAAAAAAUGUUUAUUUAUAAUGAAAAAAAGGUAUAGCUAGAUGAUUGAAAGGAAAUCAAUCGACCAGUGAGAAAGGUAAUGUAAUCGGCGGAAUGGCGGAAUGCAUGCCUAACUGUUAGACCUAGAAGUCAAACAGAUACGUAAGUAGGGCAUAGUGACCCUUCGCUAUAAUAUGGAAUAGACGGGGAUCAGUUAAUAAAAGUUACGCUAGGGAUAACAGGCUGAUAGCUGGGAAGAGCACACAUUGUUCCGGCUGUUUGGCACCUCGAUGUCGACUCAACCUAACCUCCGGGGGCAAAAGCUUGGAAGGGUUCGGCUGUUCGCCGAUUAAAAGGUUACGCGAGUUGGGUUUAAUACGACGUGAGUCAGUAUGGUCCCUAUCUUCCGAAGGUAAAAAUAGUAAAAAGGGGCAGACCUUCUAGUACGAAAGGAUCAAUAGGCUGUGUUUCACUAGUGUACCAAUUGUUUUGAUAAGCAUAGUUGGGUAGCCACAAACAUAAUAGAUAAGCGCUGAAGGAAUCAAAAGCAGGAAGCUAUCCCCUAGAUACUAUCAUUAGAAUUUUACUUGAUUUAUUUUUAGAUAGAUAAUAUAACCCUUGAACGACCAUUAUGGGAUCGUCAGGAUGAAUAUUUUUAUUUUUAAAUAGAUUUCAUUUACUUGGCCAAAAAAAAAUUUAAACUUUUUAAGUUACGGAAUCGGCUGGGCUAGGCAAAAGAGAUUUAUUUAAGAGUAAUAUCAGCAAUGCUUUUUUGUUUUAGUUCAGUAGUUCUAUUGAUUUUUUAAUACUUCACCCUUGCCUCUCUGCGCUUGCGCGAGCAAGCGCACUGAGUCAGGGCAGAGGGUAAAUGGAAAGGUCAAUUCUAAUUUUUUAAGAAAUAGAUUAUUUCUAAAUAGGAUGCAAAUUGAAAUACUCCAAUGUAUUAAGUUUAGCAUUACUAAUUUAUCAAAUAGACUUAA
rnacentral:rRNA from 1 species